CAACCGAUGCUGGCAGCCGAUGCAUUGCCCGGAUGCAUAUGUAACCGGAGUCCAAAGCGUGUCUUGUGUCCUGUGUGUGGUUACAACAUUCAAGGCCGAGUGAGGCAGACCUGUGCCUGGCAUCCAAAUGUUGUCCACUUGAUGGACUUGGGAGCAUGUCCGAACUGUAAAGCCAAUUGUCUGCGUGAAAUAGAACCACAUCGUAAAAACAGGAAUACAGCCUCACAGCAACAGUAGUUGCAUUUCAGCCAUCCAUCCAUCCAUCCAUCCAGAUAGAAUGGUGAUGGUCACAGAAAAAAAAUUUAUUGAACUGUUUUGAAAUAUCAAUAUUUCUUGUUUCUUCUGUUCUUGCAUUGUCACUUUACUCACUUCCUCUUACUCUCUUACUUACUCUCUCACCCCCAUCUCUCUUCUUACUCGUACUCCCUUUACUCUCUCUCUCACUACCUCUGUAUCUCUCCUGGUUACUGUCUCAAAAUCUCCCAUGCUUUUCUCUUUCUCUUCGCCUCUUACUUCAACUGCAGUUGAAAUGAAAAAGAAACCAACGGACCAACCAACCCACAACUGAUGGUGCUAUAGAGGAAAGUGGUGGAGAGUCUUUUAUUGUUACUAAUGAAUUGAGCCUGUGAUGUAAUGAGGCAUCGAGGUGGAGGAAGGAUGUGGAGGAGGAGGAGAAAGAAGAGGAGAAACAGCUACAUUAAGACAUCAGAUAGGUGACUUGAUUGUAAAAAUGACACAGCUUAACCCAUUUGAGACCAUAUUUUUCUGACAAGAAUAUAUACUGCCAUUGUUUAAAUCAUCAAAAUAUUUAAGUUUUAUGGAAGAUUUUAGUGCAAUAACUCUUAACUUGAUAAGACAAAUGGCUAAUAAAGUUUAAAUUCAUCUUUUGUGUAAGAAAUUUCAGUCCAAAAUUCUAGGUUAAUUAAACAUAGGUUGGGUUUUUUUUUUUUCAAUGGGUUAAUUGUUGGAAUGUGAUACCUUCUUUCUUUCUCUCUCUCUCUCUCUCUCCUGCUUUCUUCCUUCCUCUUUCUCGCUGUCUUUCUUUCUUUGUGAUGUGUUUUUGGUAUUGGGUUGUGUUUGUGAAGGAAUAAAAAUG